AUUGCUGAUGCUCGCAUCUAUGGUUCCAGAUUUCUUUCCUAGGGUUUCUAUCUCCAGCGUUGCCUCACUUUGGGUUUUCUUUAUUGUGUCUACUUCCCUUUUUAGGUCUUGGAUGGUUUUAUUUAAUUCCAUCACUUGUUUGGUUGUGUUUUCCUGCAAUUCUUUAAGGGAUUUUUGUACUUCCUCUUUAAUGUCUUCUACCUGUUUAGCAGUGUUCUUCUGUAUUUCUUUAAGUGAGUUAUUUAAGUCCUUUUUGAUGUCCUCUACCAUCAUCAUGAGAUAUGGCUUUUAAAUCCAGGUCUAGCUUUUCGGGUGUGUGGGGUGCCCUGGACUAGGUAAAGUGGGAGUGCUGGGUUCUGAUGAUGGUGAGUGGUCCUGGUUUCUGUUAGUAAGAUUCUUACAUUUACCUUUCACCAUCUGGUAAUCUCUGGCGUUAGUUGUUAUAGUUGUCUCUGUUUAGAGAUUGUUCCUCUGUUGAUUUUGUUACCCUCUAUCAGCAGACCUGGGAGACUAGCUCUCUCCUCUGAGUUUCAGUGGUCAGAGCAGUCUCUGCAGGCAAGCUCUCCUCUUUCAGGGAAGGUGCACAGUUAUCUGGCAUUUGGACUUCCUCCUGGCCGAAGAUGAAGGCCCAAAACAGGAUCUUUCCCAGACGCUGUGUUGCUUUGGCCUGUCACAGAAGCUGUUGUUUCAGUAGUCCACAUUCUCACCUGUGUAGACUACUUUCCCCAGAGUCCUGGAACCAAGAUGGCUCUCAUGGAUCCUGAAGCAAAGGCCUCCCAGGCUGGGUGGAUACCUGGCCUCUGGCCAGGAAGGUGGCCAGAUGUCUGGAGCCCGAAAACGGUGCUGCCCCAGAAGCUCUGCAGCUCUUGCCUGUCCCAGAAGCUGCUAGCCUCUGUAGUCCACACUCUCACCUGUGCAGACUGCCCGCCACGGAGUCCCAGAACUGAGAUGGCUACCGCGGAACCUGAGGCAGAAGCCUCCCAGGCCAGGCGGACACCUGUCCUCUGGCUAGGAAGGUGGCUGGUUGUUUGGAGCCGAAAAUGGCACCGCCUCGGAAGCUCUGUGGCUCUUGCCUGUCUCAGAAGCUGCUAGCCUCUGUAGUCCACACCCUCACCUGUGAGGACUGCCCGCUGCGGAGUCCCGGAACCAAGGUGGCUCCCGCGGAACCUGAGGCAGAAGCCUCCCAGGCCGGACGGACACCUGUCCUCUGGUCCCGAAGGUGGUCGGAUGUCUCGAAAUGUUUUUAAAAAGUAAACAUUUCUAUGUCUUUAGAGAUGUCUGUUAAUGUGGCAAUUACCAUCACAGAUGGCAUUAAAGAAGACUCCAAGGUAAAUUAAUAAAAAUAUAAUGAAUUUGAACAAGGAGAUCCUCUGCUAGAUUAGUCACACUGUAUCAAUAGCCACAAGUGACGUGUUUCUGCCAUGUUGGACAUACAGAUAUAAAAUCUCUGUCACUAAUGAAAGCCCUGUGUAGCACUGUGGCUUUAGAAUACUGAGUUUUCUUCAGCCAACUUGGAGAUAGCACUUAAUAGCCUGUGUGGAAGCAGGUUGACUCCAGUCAGACACUUAUCAUCCAAUAAAAUGAUGAGAACACACGUUACUUUAUAAAAAAAAAUAAUCUGUUUAUUCUCAAUAUAACUAAAAUCCUAUACUCUGGCACAGUUUUAAAUAACUCUAUGCCGCCGUGCUGGUCAUUAAAUAAAGCAUGAUGAUAGUAGUAACAUUGCCCGAGAAAUAAUGACUUAGUUCCUGUGACUGACAUACCAGACUUUUCAGGAAUUGUUAGAGUAGACAAAAUAUAGGACAUUGCUGAGCAGAUGCCAGCGAAACAAGUUCUCAGGCUCCGCCCCAGAGCUGCGGUAGUCUGUGCCACUGAAGUCUGUGAGGGAUUCGCAAGCACACUGGAACUCGACAGAAUGACACAGGGCCUCUCCAAAGCAGACAGCUCAGAGGGAGGCUGUGAAAUUGGCCAAUUUGAUUGCUCCAUAUGCUCCUCAGAUCUUGUCGGUGACCCGCACAUCAGCUAUUCCCCAAGCCUUUCUGGCUCAUCUGUCUUCCACUAAUGAGGAUUUUAAAAGCCAAAUACUUUCUUUCUCAGCCUUUCUUGCAGCUAACAGUCGCGGUAAGCAGUUGUGGAGUAGGAGGCGUAACUCGAUGUCUGGAAGGUGGCUUCUGUGUGACAUUUUCCUCCCUGAUUAAAGCAGAGGGACGGAAGCACCCCCUAGUGCCACACGGUCAUCUCUUUUUUAGCUCAGUAUUUCAUUGUGAAGGUAAGACAUGUGCUUGGGGCCAAUGCAGUGGCCCCGCCAAGCCCAACAGCUGCAGUGCAGUGUGUUGGACCCACCCAUACAGUGGUAGGAGAGAAUUGACUUCAGCAAGCUGUCCUCUGACCUCCACAUAUAUGUCCACCCCACUCCAAUACAUUAAAAAUAGAAUUGAUACUUAAUAAAAAAAAUAAGUGAAAUUCUCAAAGAAUAAGUAUUUCUUUACAAAAGAUACUUAGAACUGGGAUCAGCACUUCCAGAUAAACAAGGGAAGACAACAGUUGGUAAAUAUGGCUCACAGGGUUGGAAGGAGCCUGGGACCUUGAUAAGAUCACCGGGACACUGCAAUGGCCAAGCUGUCUGCCUUUUACUUCUGUUCUUUAAUAUGCUUACAAUUCCUUUACCUACAUCUGAUGACGUCAUUCCUAGACCUCUGGGGGAUAGAGCAAUGGAGGAAGAGAGAGAGGAGAUAGGCUAUGGUGGGUAGAGAAAGCUCAGGAAGUGGUUUUCAAGUCUUCUAGAGCACUCGGACUUGAUGGGAAAGUGGCUCCAGAUCGGAAAGUGCAGAGGGCACCACAUGCACCUUUCCCUUUACACUGCCAUGAACUUGAUGGUUGGUAAGCCUGGGAUUCACUCAGGGGUUUGAAGAGAAAGAACACAAGUCACACACAGGGAGGGAGGAGUCUUCAACUCUAAGAUCGAUUUCCCUCUGUCAGCCAUUACGAGUGGGGCCUUGGGUGCCUGUUUGAUAAGCGGGGCGCUUUUGGCCUUGUUACUGCUGAUUCUUUCCCACACCUCCUAAACCCCAGGUUAACCGAUUUUGACGCUUCAGACACAGCACAGUGAUGCAAAUGAAUAGGUUAUGUUUUCCAAAACUUCCUGUGAUUGGAAGUAUUUACUGGCAGGGCACUUACUCACAUCCGCUGUUCUUUCUCCUAGAUCAAUGGAGUCUCCUCAAGACAAAGAACGGAGAGCGUGUUGUCAAUUUUGGACUGGAAUUGAAAUGUUCUAUACGUUUCAGCCAUGCCCAGCCAGUACAGAAGAACCCCAGCGCUGCUUUUGUGUGAAAGGGAAACAUAAGGAAAGGCACGGAUUACCAAAGUUUUUGAGGAUUAAGGUUUAAAUCUUCCAAUCAUAAAAGGAUAUCCAUUGCCUAAUCAAAGAAUAUGUUUCAAGACUUGAGUGUGAAAUUCUUCAUAACACAAGAAUGCAUUUACAUUUUGAGCACGAGAUAUGAAUGAGAACGACUUUUCAGGCACUGUGAAUGUCCCCAGCCAUUCUGCUAAUCAGCACUGCCUGUGCUAUAAAAAGUAAAAUUAAAAGUGG
rnacentral:lncRNA from 1 species